GACGAACGCUGGCGGCGUGCCUAAUACAUGCAAGUAGAACGCACAGUUUAUACCGUAGCUUGCUACACCAUAGACUGUGAGUUGCGAACGGGUGAGUAACGCGUAGGUAACCUGCCUGGUAGCGGGGGAUAACUAUUGGAAACGAUAGCUAAUACCGCAUAAUAUUUAUUAUUGCAUUAUAAUUAAUUUAAAGUUUCAAUUGCACCACUACCAGAUGGACCUGCGUUGUAUUAGCUAGUAGGUGAGGUAACGGCUCACCUAGGCGACGAUACAUAGCCGACCUGAGAGGGUGAUCGGCCACACUGGGACUGAGACACGGCCCAGACUCCUACGGGAGGCAGCAGUAGGGAAUCUUCGGAAAUAGACGAAAGUCUGAAAGAGCAAAGCAGCGUGAGUGAAGAAGGUUUUCGGAUCGUAAAGCUCUGUUGUAAGAGAAGAACGGGUGUGAGAGUGGAAAGUUAAAACUGUGAAGGUAUCUUACAAGAAAGGGAAGGAUAAAUAAGUG
rnacentral:rRNA from 1 species